ensembl:snRNA U6 U6 spliceosomal RNA
GUGCUUGCUUUAGCAGUACAUAUACUAAAAUUGGAACCAUACAGAGAUUAGCAUGGCCCCUGCACAAAGAUGACAUGAAACUCACAAACCAUUCCAUAUCAAA